UUUAAAUGGCCGCAGUAUACUAACUGUGCAAAGGUAGCAUAAUCAUUAGUCUUUUAAUUGAAGGCUGGUAUGAAUGGUUGGACGAGAUACUAACUGUUUCAUAAAAAUUUAUAAUAGAAUUUUAUUUUUUAGUCAAAAAGCUAAAAUAUAUUUAAAAGACGAGAAGACCCUAUAAAUCUUUAUAUUUAAAUUAUUAUAAUUUUGAAGAUUUAUUUUGUUGUAAUAAUUAAUAAUAUUUUAUUGGGGUGAUAUUAAAAUUUAAUAAACUUUUAAUUUUAAAAUUCAUUAAUUUAUGAAUAAUUGAUCCAUUAAUAGUGAUUAAAAGAAUAAGUUACUUUAGGGAUAACAGCGUAAUUUUUUUGGAGAGUUCAUAUCGAUAAAAAAGAUUGCGACCUCGAUGUUGGAUUAAGAUAUAAUUUUAG
rnacentral:rRNA from 1 species